GUGGGGAAUCUUGUGCAAUGGGCGAAAGCCUGACGCAGCCAUGCCGCGUGAAUGAUGAAGGUCUUAGGAUUGUAAAAUUCUUUCACCGGGGACGAUAAUGACGGUACCCGGAGAAGAAGCUCCGGCUAACUUCGUGCCAGCAGCCGCGGUAAUACGAAGGGGGCUAGCGUUGCUCGGAAUUACUGGGCGUAAAGGGCGCGUAGGCGGACAGCUUAGUCAGAGGUGAAAGCCCAGGGCUCAACCUUGGAAUUGCCUUUGAUACUGGCUGUCUUGAGUUUGGGAGAGGUGAGUGGAACGCCGAGUGUAGAGGUGAAAUUCGUAGAUAUUCGGAAGAACACCAGUGGCGAAGGCGACUCACUGGCCCAAUACUGACGCUGAGGCGCGAAAGCGUGGGGAGCAAACAGGAUUAGAUACCCUGGUAGUCC
rnacentral:rRNA from 1 species